UUUCCGGAGGUGUCUAACACAUUACUGUUUCAGAGUAAAGAGGGAGAAUUCCCCGGAACA
rnacentral:tRNA from 1 species